CACUAUCGUUAACUGAAUACAUAGGUUAACGAGGCGAACCGGGGGAACUGAAACAUCUAAGUACCCCGAGGAAAAGAAAUCAACCGAGAUUCCCCCAGUAGCGGCGAGCGAACGGGGAGCAGCCCAGAGUCUGAAUCAGCUUGUGUGUUAGUGGAACGGUCUGGAAAGUCCGACGGUACAGGGUGAUAGUCCCGUACACCAAAAUGCACAGGCUGUGAACUCGAA
rnacentral:rRNA from 1 species